rnacentral:rRNA from 1 species
GUCUCUUUGUAGUAGUUAGUAUAAAGAGUCGAACCUGCCCGGUGACUAAGUGUUAAACGGCCGCGGUACCCUAACCGUGCAAAGGUAGCAUAAUCAUUUGCCUUUUAAUUGGAGGCUGGUAUGAAUGGUUUGACGAGAGCUAAACUGUCUCUCUUAUGAAAUAAAUAGAAUUUAACUUUCAGGUGAAGAGGCCUGAAUGUGCUUGAGGGACAAGAAGACCCUGUUGAGCUUUAGUGAGCUUGAGAAUAUUAGAUAUUAUUUAUUAUUUAGGUAAGUUUGUAAUUUUAUAGAUUUAUUUCUUAAGUAAUCUUUAGUUGGGGCGACUGAGGAAUAGAAAAAGCUUCCUUUAUUGUUAAAUUAAAUAUAAAAAUAGUUUGUAGUAAUUUUAUCUAAAUAAAUGUGAUCCAGAAUUUUUGAUCAAAGGAAAAAGUUACCACAGGGAUAACAGCGUAAUCUUUCUGGAGAGAUCUAAUCGAAAGAAGGGUUUGCGACCUCGAUGUUGGACUAAGGUAUCCUAAGGGUGUAGAAGCUCUUAAAGGUUGGUCUGUUCGACCAUUAAAACCUU